rnacentral:rRNA from 1 species
CGGUAGCACAGAGAGCUUGCUCUUGGGUGACGAGUGGCGGACGGGUGAGUAAUGUCUGGGAAACUGCCCGAUGGAGGGGGAUAACUACUGGAAACGGUAGCUAAUACCGCAUAACGUCUUCGGACCAAAGUGGGGGACCUUCGGGCCUCACACCAUCGGAUGUGCCCAGAUGGGAUUAGCUAGUAGGUGGGGUAACGGCUCACCUAGGCGACGAUCCCUAGCUGGUCUGAGAGGAUGACCAGCCACACUGGAACUGAGACACGGUCCAGACUCCUACGGGAGGCAGCAGUGGGGAAUAUUGCACAAUGGGCGCAAGCCUGAUGCAGCCAUGCCGCGUGUAUGAAGAAGGCCUUCGGGUUGUAAAGUACUUUCAGUGGGGAGGAAGGCGAUGGAGUUAAUAGCUUCGUCGAUUGACGUUACCCGCAGAAGAAGCACCGGCUAACUCCGUGCCAGCAGCCGCGGUAAUACGGAGGGUGCAAGCGUUAAUCGGAAUUACUGGGCGUAAAGCGCACGCAGGCGGUCUGUCAAGUCGGAUGUGAAAUCCCCGGGCUCAACCUGGGAACUGCAUUCGAAACUGGCAGGCUAGAGUCUUGUAGAGGGGGGGUAGAAUUCCAGGUGUAGCGGUGAAAUGCGUAGAGAUCUGGAGGAAUACCGGUGGCGAAAGCGGCCCCCCUGGACAAAGACUGACGCUCAGUGCGAAAGCGUGGAGAGCAAACAGGAUUAGAUACCCUGGUAGUCCACGCCGUAAACGAUGUCGACUUGGAGGUUGUGCCCUUGAGCGUGGCUUCCCGGAGCUAACGCGUAAGUCGACCGCCUG